rnacentral:rRNA from 2 species
GACGAACGCUGGCGGCGUGCCUAAUACAUGCAAGUCGAACGAACUCUGGUAUUGAUUGGUGCUUGCAUCAUGAUUUACAUUUGAGUGAGUGGCGAACUGGUGAGUAACACGUGGGAAACCUGCCCAGAAGCGGGGGAUAACACCUGGAAACAGAUGCUAAUACCGCAUAACAACUUGGACCGCAUGGUCCGAGUUUGAAAGAUGGCUUCGGCUAUCACUUUUGGAUGGUCCCGCGGCGUAUUAGCUAGAUGGUGAGGUAACGGCUCACCAUGGCAAUGAUACGUAGCCGACCUGAGAGGGUAAUCGGCCACAUUGGGACUGAGACACGGCCCAAACUCCUACGGGAGGCAGCAGUAGGGAAUCUUCCACAAUGGACGAAAGUCUGAUGGAGCAACGCCGCGUGAGUGAAGAAGGGUUUCGGCUCGUAAAACUCUGUUGUUAAAGAAGAACAUAUCUGAGAGUAACUGUUCAGGUAUUGACGGUAUUUAACCAGAAAGCCACGGCUAACUACGUGCCAGCAGCCGCGGUAAUACGUAGGUGGCAAGCGUUGUCCGGAUUUAUUGGGCGUAAAGCGAGCGCAGGCGGUUUUUUAAGUCUGAUGUGAAAGCCUUCGGCUCAACCGAAGAAGUGCAUCGGAAACUGGGGAACUUGAGUGCAGAAGAGGACAGUGGAACUCCAUGUGUAGCGGUGAAAUGCGUAGAUAUAUGGAAGAACACCAGUGGCGAAGGCGGCUGUCUGGUCUGUAACUGACGCUGAGGCUCGAAAGUAUGGGUAGCAAACAGGAUUAGAUACCCUGGUAGUCCAUACCGUAAACGAUGAAUGCUAAGUGUUGGAGGGUUUCCGCCCUUCAGUGCUGCAGCUAACGCAUUAAGCAUUCCGCCUGGGGAGUACGGCCGCAAGGCUGAAACUCAAAGGAAUUGACGGGGGCCCGCACAAGCGGUGGAGCAUGUGGUUUAAUUCGAAGCUACGCGAAGAACCUUACCAGGUCUUGACAUACUAUGCAAAUCUAAGAGAUUAGACGUUCCCUUUGGGGACAUGGAUACAGGUGGUGCAUGGUUGUCGUCAGCUCGUGUCGUGAGAUGUUGGGUUAAGUCCCGCAACGAGCGCAACCCUUAUUAUCAGUUGCCAGCAUUAAGUUGGGCACUCUGGUGAGACUGCCGGUGACAAACCGGAGGAAGGUGGGGAUGACGUCAAAUCAUCAUGCCCCUUAUGACCUGGGCUACACACGUGCUACAAUGGAUGGUACAACGAGUUGCGAACUCGCGAGAGUAAGCUAAUCUCUUAAAGCCAUUCUCAGUUCGGAUUGUAGGCUGCAACUCGCCUACAUGAAGUCGGAAUCGCUAGUAAUCGCGGAUCAGCAUGCCGCGGUGAAUACGUUCCCGGGCCUUGUACACACCGCCCGUCACACCAUGAGAGUUUGUAACACCCAAAGUCGGUGGGGUAACCUUUUAGGAACCAGCCGCCUAAGGUGGGACAGAUGAUUAGGGUG